GACGAACGCUGGCGGCGUGCUUAACACAUGCAAGUCGAACGGAAAGGCCCUGCUUUUGUGGGGUGCUCGAGUGGCGAACGGGUGAGUAACACGUGAGUAACCUGCCCUUGACUUUGGGAUAACUUCAGGAAACUGGGGCUAAUACCGGAUAGGAGCUCCUGCUGCAUGGUGGGGGUUGGAAAGUUUCGGCGGUUGGGGAUGGACUCGCGGCUUAUCAGCUUGUUGGUGGGGUAGUGGCUUACCAAGGCUUUGACGGGUAGCCGGCCUGAGAGGGUGACCGGCCACAUUGGGACUGAGAUACGGCCCAGACUCCUACGGGAGGCAGCAGUGGGGAAUAUUGCACAAUGGGCGGAAGCCUGAUGCAGAAACGCCGCGUGCGGGAUGACGGCCUUCGGGUUGUAAACCGCUUUCGCCUGUGACGAAGCGUGAGUGACGGUGAUGGGUAAAGAAGCACCGGCUAACUACGUG
rnacentral:rRNA from 1 species